UGUUAUACUUAAAGUAUAAACAAACUCGAAAUGUUAGUGAAUAUAUCGUUUUGAUGGGAUACGCAAUCUGCGAAACUAAUUUCAACAAUCAAACUGUCAAACUUGUUUGUAUAUGCUUCAAGAUCUCAUACGUCAAAAAUCGCAAAAAACAACCAUUCAAAGAUCAAGUAACGGGACAAAACUUUUUGACGGUUAUCAACGAAAAAUCACAAUUAAACGGUUAUUUUAACUCCGAUUUUGAUGAUUUUUUACAACUACACUCCUUGACCAUAUAAGAAUACAAUGAAUAAUUUGAUCUUUAAUUUAAAAUAUUUACACUAGUGGAUAUCACAAAAUCUUAUGUCAUGAUGAUCG
rnacentral:lncRNA from 1 species